UGUGGACCAUUGGCCACUUCUCUCUCAGAAUAACCAGAGAAAUCAACACCGUUCAAACAACAAGAGAAAUGUAACAUUACAUGAUCAAGACUUCAUGACAGACAUGUAGACUUACAUGGCACGACAUGGACCCAAAAGCAUCUGGGAAAUGCGAGUGGCCCCAAAAUCACCAUAGAAAUCCCCACAACUGAAGAAAAAAUGAGAAUGGAAAGAAAUCUCAAAUUCACGGACAGGGACUGCACGACACUGCAUCUCAUGGAAAAGAACAUCCGGGCUGGCUUCAUAAAGACAGUCCUGCAUUCUAAAUAUGGUAAAAUUCAAGGCGAUCUUGGAUGACAGGAAGAAAAAAAAAAAUGUGAAGGUUGUGUAUUUUGUGACCCUUUGAUUUCGAUUUUUGGGGAUUUAGCAAUGUUCUU